CUUCCUCUCUCCUCGCUCUCCCUCGCUGGAAGUUCUGUGCGUCUCACGUUUAAACUCGGACCCUUCAGCUGUGAUGCGUCUCUCCCGUGCUGUGCCUCAGGUGAGUGGCCUGGCCCAGGCUUGCUUGUCAUCUGGGUUGUGUUGCGUCGUGCAUGGUCAUGAAAAUGCAGGAUAAGGAUUUCAUGGCACGCAUAGCAAUACAGUAAAAUCCACCUCACCGUCAGUGAAAGACAGAGAAGCAUUACAAAGAAAAAAGAAUCUUCCAAUAAAAUCCCUGCAUAUCUCUCAUCUUAGGGGAGGGGGUCAGGGACCCUGACCUCACUUCCUGCUAGUGCGUCUCACAGGCACAGGAUUGUCUGUGAGAAUGUGACAAGGCUCAUGGGACACGCGCACAUCUGGCAGCUGUUUGCACCCUCCACUUUAGGCUCUGCACCAAAGCCCCUUAUAGAUUUGGUGCUCUCCACAGGAAAUUCGCCAAAAUAGUAAUAAAAAAUCCCUCCUAUUUUCCAAAAUGUAUAAAUCCUUUUGCCCACUGAAAAAUUCCACUGAAGUUGGUGCCUUACAAAAGAUAGGACACAGAACUCAUUUGGUCUGCCACAAGUUGGUUUCCACCACAACAUUUCUUCUUCUUACACAAAUUCUUGUUUUAGGUGGCAUAUUUCUUCAUUCCUUGGAUGCAAUCAAGUAAACAGCAAGUAAUCCCUUAAAUAUAAACUGUUCACCAAACAUAGACAUUCAUGGAUGAGUCAAGAUAAAACUAAUGAUGUUCAGUAUCAGAAUUCCACAUUGCCCCUUUUGGAUUUCCCUCAAAUCAAUGAUGUUUUUUUUUCUUUCUUUCUUUUUUUAAGACUAGUGAGAUUUGGUAUUUUUUAAACAUUUUCAAAUGAAAAUACUCAUAAUCUAGCUAACUCUCAAAUAUGAGCAUGUUUUUAAUCUUUAUCUUCACAUCCUUAUGUGGAAGGAUUCCCUCUUUAUUAAAGGCUGCGGGUCCAGAACGGACAU